UACGGAGGGUGCGAGCGUUGUUCGGAAUCACUGGGCGUAAAGGGCGUGUAGGCGGUCCGUUAUGUCUGAUGUGAAAGCCCGGGGCUCACCCCCGGAAGUGCAUUGGAAACUGACGGACUCGAGUCCCGGAGAGGAGGGUGGAAUUCCUGGUGUAGCGGUGAAAUGCGUAGAUAUCAGGAGGAACACCGGUGGCGAAGGCGGCCCUCUGGACGGUGACUGACGCUAAGACGCGAAAGCGUGGGGAGCAAACAGG
rnacentral:rRNA from 1 species